CACCAAUGCCAAACCUAGCACCACGAUCUUAUCAGUGAGUCUGGAAGUCUAGCACCUGUUUCUCUAACAAGCCCAAACUUGUGAAACAACUGAAGGUUCAAUGGUACUGCAUGUCAGUACCGAGCAAACACACUGGCUGCUAUAAAUAGACCCCUAGUCAACCUCUGAGCUUUAUGGGUCACUGACUGCUUCUAUCGAUCUUUAGAAAUUACAGGGAAUAAAAACUCCUUUGCCGAGACAACGUCUGUUUCUGCGCUCAGAGAUCUCAGGCCGUCUCUCCUCAAAGGCAUGGGAUAGCUGCUGCAGAUGAAGAUGCAUGGCACCCAUGCACAAACCUGCACAAGCCCAUACUCCUACACACGGAGCAGAUCCUGCUGGUGGAUGAAGAGAACCAGACCACCAGCAGCGAACAGCAGGAGAAACAAGCAGGACCAGGGCAACCUUCUUCUCCGUCCAUGCAGGGGGUCCACCACCAUCUUCCACUUCAUCCACAGCAUGAUGCAGCACCGUCAGACACUAAGUACAGCACUUUACUCCCUCCUCCCGUGUUGUGGAGUUGAUCUCUCUGUGAGGACAAUGCCAGCAAGACUGCAAUGUUAGACAGUGAAAACAAUCUCACCCCGACCCCACAAUGCACUUGGGUCAGGUUCAUUUAAGUGUGACCAUGGGAUUGGUCCCUGCGAGAGCAAUUAGUUCUCACUGAAAAAUCUGGGACGGUGGGAACAGCGAGAUGUCAAACAAUGGCUGCACCCCUCGUCAGCUAAACGCCUGUUACCCUCGUCUCCUGUGAGGGUGAACUGCCAGCGUUUUGUGUUUCUGUGUGACUACUCCCCAGCUGUACACACUGUGGCUCAGAGUAAUUUCAGACUCUGUUCGACAUACCUGCUCCAAUGUGUCAUGUCAUAAUGGGAGGAGUU